ACUCCUACGGGAGGCAGCAGUGAGGAAUAUUGGACAAUGGAGGAGACUCUGAUCCAGCCAUGCCGCGUGUAGGAAGAAUGCCCUAUGGGUUGUAAACUACUUUUAUACAGGAAGAAACACUGGUAUGUAUACCAGUCUUGACGGUACUGUAAGAGNAAGGCACCGGCUAACUAC
rnacentral:rRNA from 1 species